ACGAGUUAUCAUCGUUUGCAUUACCUACGGCAGCGCGGAUACGGUAAAGCGUUUUCAAGGGAACAAUUCCAGUCCUCGAAGAUCAAGAGCCCCGUUAAUUCCCCCAUGAACAUCCCGAUUAGAAACUAAACGCCACGGUCUGUGUACACUCGCUUCCCGUUAAUGAUUCGGUUACAAAGCCUGUCGGUGGAUCCGCAGCUCAGACAGAACGCAUGCUAUCCACCUGCGCCCUCUUGGAUCAACGGCUCUGCGCGUUCGACGUGCAACGAGAAGAUCUCCCGAUAGAAACCCACGGAGCUCCAACUAGACAGGCCGGAUCACGAACGAACGCAGACACGAGUGGAUGAAGAACGAUCGGGAGCUCGAAGAAUUUUGAACUCUUUUGAGAGGAUUCCAAGACGAAAGACUGGAGAAAAACGGUCGAGCUGUACGGGUGCUAUCGAUCGGACGGACGGAAACAGUGAUCAACGUUGAAGCGGAUGCUGAAAGAACGACCAAGGAGAGAUGCUUGGAUUCGGAAGAGAUCAGAGGAUGACCGAAGAAAAAAGGAGGAAUUUCGGGACCGGAAUCGGUCGGUUGAAGAUGAUCGUCGAAAACUCAGACGAACGGCUAAAGACCGGUGAAGAAUUCUACGUUGUAGAAAAGAUCGAGAAACGAGAAAUCAAAGAAACCACGGAAGAGUCUCGGGGAUCGGUUGAGGAGAUGCGACGGGACCAGGGAUUCGAAAUCCCGCAGCGUUCGAUAUCCCUUCGUUGAUUCCAACGGUGUCUCUCCAAUUUGUUCUGUCUACACAUACAUCCGUUUGUCGAUGACUGUUCUCUCGCGCUUCGUUGCUGUUUCGGAUCAAAGAACGCGAAAGGUAGGCCGAGUAAAAAGCGACAGGAAUUUUUCUCGUCUGCUCGAAAAGGUAGAGAAAUACCGACGUCGACGCUGGCGUUGCAAACGCACGUUUCCCUUGGCUUCCCGACGGACCCUUGUUCCAGAGAACGUUGCCGUGGCCCAGCGGCGGUCAGCCUGUGCUGAAGUUUGAAGCUGGCGAAAUUUUGAUGCGUUUCUCGGCGCAUGGUAAAUCUCUUAUUUUAUUUCGUACCGAGUGGCUCCGGAACGAAAGGAAAAAAGAGUGCUGAAAAAAAUGAGGAACGAAUCGUUAAUUUUAAACGCGAGCUUUAUACCGGUUUUACGGCAGCUGCCCUCCACCAGCCAAAGGAACUAGCCUUGUUUCCAGGUCCGGGUUUCCAUCAACGUUUCCCGCCUUUCUCACCGCCGAGGGCGAACAAGUUGUAGUUUAUGUAUAUAUUACGUAUAAUACGAGAUAAACGUAAUCCUUAAUUUUUUUCAUCGGAACGCAACGAUCGCAGUCUCGAGUUUAAAACGGUACGCGUACAAAUAUUCGUAAAUAUUACGAGGUUGGAAAACGUUACAUCUUGCUAGUCUUAUUUCAGUGGAAAGGGCUACCGAC